UUUUCAGCUCUUUUACCGCGUGACGUGUCCUUCUCGACCCCUCGGUCUCCUUCGCUCCGAUCCAUCCUGCCCGUGGCAUUGCUUACUUUCGACACGCGCACACACACAGAAGUACGAGUCAGUGCGGCUGCGGCGAGUGCGCACCACUAACAUAGGGACGCACCGCCCAAGCAAAAAGAUAAGCACCAACACAGGCAGAUCAGCGCGACAGCGAGCAGAGUAGGAUAGCCUUGGCAGGCGCAGUCGCUGCCGUUUAUUCUACUAUUUUCGGCGAAGUGCUGCGGAACGAGACACAAGCUCGUAUCGGGUUUCUCACUUCCACGCGCAUACACCGGCACCUAAGCAAAUCCAGAGGCACCAUGAGCAACGAUCCGAAGUCCAUGAAGCCCGACCCACUUGUGGCCAGCAACGACGUCGCGUCUGACGACGGCAGUGAUGGAAAGGGGGAUGUCGCGGCGCCUCCGGCGUUCCUUCCCACAGCGGGCCGUGUGGAAGUGCACCCGCUGGUGCUGCUGUCCCUGGUGGACCACUACGCCCGCAUGAACACCUCUGCCGUUCAGAAAAAGCGUGUGGCAGGGCUGCUGCUUGGGCGCUACGUGCGCGACUCCACAGGGAUGCAGACGCUCGACAUCAACAACAGCUUCGCCGUCCCCUUCGACGAGGACCCGCAGGAUGCCGACGUAUGGUUCUUUGACACGAACUACGCCCAGGAGAUGUUUGCGAUGCACAAACGCGUGUUACCGAAGGUGAAAGUUGUGGGGUGGUACUCCUCCGGCCCCACCAUUCAGCCCAAUGACAUGCUGCUGCAUCUUCUGGUCGCGGAUCGCUUCUGUCUCAAUCCUGUCUACUGUGUAGUAAACACCGACCCAAACAACAAGGGCGUGCCGGUGCGGGCCUACACGACGGUGCAGGGGCGUGAAGGCACGCGCUCACUCGAGUUCCGCAACAUCCCGACCCACCUCGGUGCGGAGGAAGCCGAGGAGAUCGGCAUCGAGCAUCUCCUGCGCGAUCUGACCGACUCCACCAUCACCACGCUCUCCACGCAGGUGCAAGAGCGGGAGCUGUCCUUGAUUCAUCUGUGCAAGGUGCUUCAGCAGAUAGAGGAGUACCUCAAGGAUGUCGGAAACGCCGUCAUGCCGAUCUCCGAGGAUGUACUGGAGGUGCUGCAGGAGCUGAUUAGCCUGCAGCCUGAGAUCUACGCCCGCCGCUCGUCGAUCGAGAUGAUCCGGCACACCAACGACGAGGCGAUUGCGACCUUCUUAGCGGCCAUCGCGCGCUGCAUCGGUGCGCUGCACGGCGUCAUCAUGAACCGCCGCAAGCUAGCGCGAGAGCUGCAGGAAAUCAAAGAUCGUCGCGCCCGCGCUGCCGAGACACGGUUGGAGAACGAAAAGAUGAAGAUCGAGGAGGCAGCCAAGGAGAAGGACAACAACCAGGCAUAGGCGGGGACAGCCACGUGGGAGCGACCGUGUCGGGUUGACGACGACAACGAUGUCGGCGGAGUUGCACAGGUACAGCACCCCAGGCAGAUUGGAGAGAUACCACACUUCCGUAAAGGCCCAACGUGCACACACCCGAUCAGCUCGUUGCCUCGCUCACUUCUGCGUUGCUACAGAGCGCGGAGAGAUGGGGGCGGCGGCGAGCAUUGCCGCUCACGCGCAAACGCUCUCCUUCUUCCCACCUCACUCUUCCUCGGCUAGACAGUGGGUGUUGAAGGCAAGAGGGAGGUGGGUCUCGCUCGCCUUUCUUUCGUGCGUGGACACCCUGCCUUUUUCCAACCGCCCAGCUGCCCCCAUCCCUUGCGUGUGUAAUGAUACACGUGCAGGAGUGGGCCACAGGCUCGGCUUUCGCGGGCGCGCGCGCUUCUCUGCCUCGGCUCCUUUGCUUUGUCUUGAUGUCUACAGGAAUCUCCCGCGUGUGUCUCCGCGUGUGCGUGUGUGUGUAUCCUCUGCCUAUUUGUCUUCUCGUCUUCAGGGAGUCUCGGCUUUUUG
rnacentral:misc_RNA from 1 species